UACGUAGGGUGCGAGCGUUGUCCGGAAUUAUUGGGCGUAAAGAGCUCGUAGGCGGUCUGUCGCGUCGAUCGUGAAAACUUGGGGCUUAACCCUGAGCUUGCGGUCGAUACGGGCAUGACUGGAGUUCGGCAGGGGAGACUGGAAUUCCUGGUGUAGCGGUGAAAUGCGCAGAUAUCAGGAGGAACAUCGGUGGCGAAGGCGGGUCUCUGGGCCGAUACUGACGCUGAGGAGCGAAAGCGUGGGGAGCGAACAGG
rnacentral:rRNA from 1 species